AUGACAGAGGUGGCCCCACGCAGAGAGGCCGGGCGGCAGGGAAAGCACAGGCAGGGAGGACGGCGAUGCUAUGCUGCUGGGGGUGGAAGGGUGGGGCACUGGUACCUAUGGGGGAACAGGAGGCACCGGUGGGGCUGCAAGGGGCACAGACUCAGGAAAGAGGCAGGCCCAGCACUAGAUGGCAGAGUCGAGGUGGCACGGAUGGCGAUCGCACGGGCGAGACUAGCAGAGAGCCCCCAAGGUCGGGAAAGAGCACCGCGAAGUGACAAGACAGGGAUGCACCGAGCUGACGCCGGCAGCGACGGUUCGGGGCCAGGGAAAGGGCGGCUCAGAAUGGCAAAAGCCAACGUCAGCUCCAGAGGCUCAGGGUCGGGAGAGGGGAGCCCCAGGUGGGACAGAAGGGAAAGGGGGACGGCUCAGAGCAGGGCCGGCCGGGGUGCCUCCGGGCAGGGGAGGGAGGGUGCUCCGGGCGGCGCAGACCCGGGCGCUGACCUGGUGCAGGGCGCUGAUGCCGUCGGCGUUGGUGGAGUCGAGGACGGCGCGGGCGGGCGGCGGGGCGGCGGGGUCCAGCUCGGCGCCGGGGCCGGGGUCGGCCGCGCGCAGCAUCAGGCGCGCCUCGUCCAGGUCGCCGCCCGCGCAGGCCGCCAGGAACUCAGCGGCGCGCUCGAAGCGCACGGUGCGGGCGCGCCGCUCCCCGGGGCCCGGCUCGGCGCCCGCCCGCGCCCCCACUGCCGCAGCUGCUCCCGCCGCCGCUCGCGGGCCGCUGCUGCCGCCGCCCCGGGGCCCGCCCCGGGCCGUCCUCGCCCGACAUCGCGCCGCCCGCCCGCCCGUGAGCGAACGAGCGAGCGAGCGAGCGCCAAGGACCGAGCCCCAAGCUGCCGCCGCCGCCGCCACCGCCCGCCCCCGGGCCGCCGGGAACUGCCGCCAGCCCCGCGCCGCCCAAGGAUCUACCGGCCCCCGCCCGGCGCGCAACGUCACCACGCCGCCCCGGGGCGCGCUGGGAAAUGGAGUCCGCAGCCGGGAGAGGUCGUGGCAACAGCCUCAGAGAAGGCCGCGGGGCGCUCUGGAAAGUGGAGUCCACAAGCGGAAAUCUGUCUCGGCCACAUUCCGGCCUCGAUCUGCCCCGAGGUACACUGGGAAAUUCGCGGCUCAGCGGUUUCAAAAGGAAAUCUGAUUAAGAGGAUGCCCCCUGGGGGUGCUGGGAAAUGGAGUCUAAAGGCCGGAGAUGUGCCCCGGGGCAUGUGGGAAAUGUAG
rnacentral:lncRNA from 1 species